rnacentral:ncRNA from 1 species
UUAAUAUGUUGGCAAACUUAGCGAAAGCUAAGGACGCAAAGCCAAGGGUCUAAACCUUCAAGGAUGAAGGAAUGAUAGCCGGUUGCACUU